CAAAAUUCUAAAUACUAAAAAAUAUAGUAAUUUUUUGUCAAAUAAUUACUGUCUUUCAUAGGGAUGUGUAUCAGAUUUGUAGAAUUUAACAUUAUUCCCCUUAAUUUUUAUUUUUUUUCUAAUUGUGCACUAAAUGCUGUAUUAGCUAGCUUUAUCAAAUUGAAAUAUUUGUAAAAAUCGUAUAGGUGACUUAAUUCAAAGAAAAAUAGAGGGGAAAAGAAAAUAAUAUCAUACUUAGUAAAUUAACUUGCUUUAGAAUUUGUCCACAUUAUUUCUCCUUACUAAAAUCUAGGAAAUAUUUUUAACAUAGAUGUAGAAUCAGUUAAUAUAUUAAAGCACAGAAUAAGGUGUAACACCAUUAAUUCUGGCCCGGCCAGAAAGCACAUACCAGAAAGUAGUACAUAUUUAACAAAAAAUAGUUCCUACUCAUGAGUGUAACUUUCAAAAUAUGUAGAAUAUUAAGGUAAUUUUGGUAUCAAAUGAAAGCUGAAGGACUGGUGAUCAUUGUGGAACACUUUUGAACUUUUAAUUUUGAAUAUUAAAAUAACUGCACCAAAUUUUAAAUAGAGGGUACAAUUUGUCUUUUUGUAGAUAUGAAGUACCGUUUUUGGUACAUCCGAAGUUCCCGGAACCAGUUCUUUCUCAUAUCCCAUUAAAUGUGUGUUGAUUUUUCAGUACAAGACACCAUAAAGUGUUGCUUUGACAUGCAAUGAUUGCCACUUUAUUUGAACUUAAAACAAAAGAGGUGUGCCUGUUUGAAACAGAGGAAUUUAACAUAGAAAGCAAUGGGACCAUGAAUUAGUGGUGUACUUCCAUAAGGCUCAAACCUGUGCUGCUAGUUAUCUCCACCUUGAUGUGAGGUGAAAAACUGAAGCUCUAUGUUGAAGCCCUCACUGUGUCUUAACUUAAGACGGCAAUAAAUGCACUUUUCAUUUGCUUCAGGUUUUGCAGUGUCAAGUCACAAUGUGUGUAACCAUUUCGAGUCAUGAAUAACUAUAUGAUAUUUCUUUUUUAUCAUUAUACAAAAUUAGAAUAUUUUAUUAC
rnacentral:lncRNA from 1 species